GAGAAAACUGUAAAGGAUACAUGCAAUCGGUAAUUUGCAUGCUCCUAGACUUGAGCUAUUGAAGAAAAGAGGGGAAUGGCUUACCUCUUUCCAGAAUCAGUGUGAAUUGACGCAGCUCUGGAAUCCUUGCUCCUAAACAACCUAGGCUACUACAGAAUGGAAAAGUGAGUGGGUCAGUGGAGGAAUUUGGAAAAGUUUGCAAAGAGAGGAGGAAGAAACGUGAGAAGAAGGUUGGCUGUUUUAGAAAGUGGUAAGUAUAAAAAAAAUUCAGACUUUUAUGGAAACCAUUGUAAUCUUGUUUUUGAAUUUUCUAAUUAAUUUUAUUCUGAAGACAAGUGUCCCCUUCUCAUUAGCUGACCAAAGUUUCAGUCUUUACAUUCUCCCCAACAACAAUAAUUUUCGACCUCGAAAAUUAAAAACUUACCAGUGAACCGAACAACCUACUCUGAUCACAUCCUCUAGUACAAUCACCUAUUUGGACAAAGAUACUACUCCGCAACGACCUUACUAACAUGAAAAACCAUGCCUUUGAAUUAAUGCUCUAGUGUUCAAUAGUGUAGAUUGGUUUAGCCAUUAGCCUCUAGACAAAUCUAAACCUUUAUGCCUCAGCUUUUAAGAACCUUUCUUUCAUAUAACCUAUCCUAUUGUGUAUGCCACUCCGUCAACCCCUCGUCUAUCUUCCUUUCCUUCUUGUAAAUCUCUUCUAAAACUUCCACUAGUCUUCACUUCAGAUCAACCCUUGAUUGUUACCCUUUUUACCUCUUCUUAUAUCAUUUAAGAACCAUCAUACAACUGACUUGAUCACUACCGCUUCUGACUUUAACUACCAAUUAUUAUGAUCUUGAUCACCUUUAACCGCAUACAUUCCGAAUACCUCACCUUAGUUUACUGAUCUUUACGCUUGAGUAGUAUAGUUUCCAACUAUAUUAUCUCAUUACCAAAGCAAAAUUCUUCUUUAUUGCAACUUCUAAAACAAAGUGAAUGCUCCAUCUUCGUUCCUUUAACCUGCCAAACUGAACCAUACUUGGAUCUAUAUCCUGCUCAACUUGAAAUCACUAGGUUGAUCAGUUCUUAUCCAACUUAAGAUACCUCUCAAACUAGGAUUUAUCCAAUCAUCCUAGCUGAACCACCUUGAGAAACUUACUAGUUAUAGUAAUUCAACUAUACUAAUGAGUUCUCUUUAUUACAUUCCCUUUAGACGUUGUUCUCCACACUUAUUCAACUGACUCUUGAUCUCUGUCUGUAACAAACCAACAACCUACAUCUUCUCUUUGUUUAAACAAUCAGUUGACAUUUCCUUACCUGAAGAUUGUCACUAUAACUCAAAGUCAUAACUCAAAUCAUCUCCUUCAUCCACUGAUCCAUUCUUCCUGAUCCAAGUCCAUUAAUACUUUCUCACUUGAGAGUUGACCCUAUAGCUUGAAAUCACACUUAUCUUCCCUGGCUGAUACUUAUUUCUUCCAUGCUUUAACUCACUUCUGACUCUUGAAGAUUACCAAGCACUCCCAACUCAUUCUCAUAUAAGAAUACUAAUACUGUUUUCAAAGAACUCGCACCUCACAAACCAUCAAUCCACAAUUUUAAAAGCUCUUCAUGCAUACCUAUUAUUGCCAACAACAUGAUUACUAUCAUCCGCUGCGCUACUCUGAUCCUCAUAUUUCCUUACUCACUCGCUUACUGAUAACAACAAUUCCUUCAUGACAAAUGUAACUAGAAAGCUCACCCUUGAAGACCUUCUUCAAACUUCCAUGAUCUUGCAAAACCUAGAUAACUCUUCAAUUACCUGAUAGUCUUGUUAUUCCGUUUUCCUUCAAUAUUGUUUUCCACUUCACAACACGACCAUGCUCGAAAUCACUCUUGAUUGUUAAGACUUAUACCAGACUAUUCCAACCCGUCCCUUAUUUCUCUUCUGAGAUUCUUCAACCUGGUAGUUCUCCUUACGAUUACACUAAGUCCAAACACUAUUGUUCUAAUCCAAUUUCUAUCUUCCCUUUGCACUCCACAACUUCAACAAGAAACAUCCAUAGAUAUAUUACUGACACCGGUUCUUCUCAGACACCAUUCCAAAGUGAGCACAAAUCCUCCGAUGUAUAAAAUUUCCAUACUUAUUGCAGAAUUCUAACCAAAACCCUUAUACUAAAAGAUCCAUCUUCUCUUCUUUGCUUAACUUUGCUAAAUUAUUCUGACUUCCACAACCCUUUGUCUUCACCAUCAAACUUGAUUCACUUCUGCUGCGUGACCUCCAGAACUCCAGAAACAAUUUGAAGACAAACAAACCUCCCUUGAUAAUCACACCUCAAAUUCACGAAAGAAUAAUAUCAUCUCGUCUUCACUUGCAUUUAACAAACCUCUUGACUUCUCAUAACACUUGCUCCCUCCUUUUGCUCAACUAUACUUGAUGUACCACCUUCGCUUUCCUUCCCUGCCAAGAAACCACUUCAUAUAAACUUCAAAACUGAACCCUUAGAUUAACUCCACAAUUAUUGCAUCACUUAGAAUUCUUAUAACACUCACCCAACCAUAUUAACUCAAAACCUUCUUCUUCAAGAAUUUCCCCUUUUAACUCAAAAAUCUUUGGAAAUACCAACUCUAUCUUUAAUCCUUCAAACAUCAAAACACUCGUAGCUAGCCACACCAAUCCUCUGACCUUAUCUGAACUUACCAACUUACUGCCUUCUGUAACUCAACAUCCAAUGUCCACUUCUCUCUUGAGCAAACUCAGUCGAUCCCUGAACAUCAUCAUAAGAUCACACCCAAAGAAAACUAAUUGUACUACCACAUGCCGCUGCAAAACUCUGAUUGUCUCAAUCAACCCGGAUUCUCAGAUCAUUCUCGAUACCCUCUAUAGCAAAUUAUAUUGUAACCAUACUUUGUUAUUUGUUCUAAGACCUUUCUUCUUUGUUCC
rnacentral:lncRNA from 1 species